GACGAACGCUGGCGGCGUGCUUAACACAUGCAAGUCGAACGCUGAAGCUCAGCUUGCUGGGUGGAUGAGUGGCGAACGGGUGAGUAACACGUGAGUAACCUGCCCUCUUCUUUGGAAUAACGCCCGGAAACGGGUGCUAAUACUGGAUAUUCACUGAUUCUCGCAUGGGGGUUGGUGGAAAGGUUUUUUCUGGUGGGGGAUGGGCUCGCGGCCUAUCAGCUUGUUGGUGGGGUGAUGGCCUACCAAGGCUUUGACGGGUAGCCGGCCUGAGAGGGUGACCGGUGACAUUGGGACUGGGAUACGGCCCAGAGUCCGACGGGAGGCAGCAGUGGGGAAUAGUGCACAAUGGGCGAAAGCAUGAUGCAGCGACGCCGCGUGAGGGAUGGAGGCCUGCGGGUUGUAAUCCUCUUUCGCUCAUGGUCAAGCCGCAGCUUUGGGUUGUGGUGAGGGUAGUGGGUAAAGAAGCGCCGGCUAACUACGUG
rnacentral:rRNA from 1 species